rnacentral:rRNA from 1 species
UACGUAGGUGACAAGCGUUGUUCGGAUUCAUUGGGCGUAAAGGGCAUGUAGGUGGUGUAAUAAGUGUGAAUUGAAAGACCGGGGCUUAACCCCGAGUUUGGUUUGCAAACUGUUAUACUAGAGUAUGGGAGAGGAGACUGGAAUUCCGCGUGUAGGGGUGAAAUCUGUAGAUAUGCGGAAGAAUACUUAUGGCGAAGGCAAGUCUCUGGCCUGUAACUGACGCUGAAAUGCGAAAGUGUGGGGAGCAAACAGGAUUAGAUACCCUGGUAGUCCACACUGUAAACGUUGUACACUAGGUGUUAGGGGAUAGAACCCCUGGUGCCGAAGCAAACGCGUUAAGUGUACCGCCUGGGGAGUAUGCUCGCAAGGGUGAA